rnacentral:lncRNA from 1 species
GCUGGAAUUUGUAUAAUGUCAGCAACUCUUCCAACAGCUUCACACUGAGCUUGGAAUAAAAAAGGAAAAGUUCACACAUGUCUUACUGUUACUGAAAUGCAAAGACCAAGUAGCAUGAAAUAACAUUCUUGUUCACAAAAAUUGCACAGAGUACAAAAAGAAAAUCCUUUUCUACUCCUAAUUCAUAGAACAUGCAAAGAUCUGCUGCAGAAUUUAGCCAAAUAGGGCAGCAACACAGCAGAAUCUAUGAAUACCUGGUGGCUUUCGUGCACAUCAGUUACAAUUGGAAGGUCAUAUGUUGCUUUCACUUUUUCAAGGAUCUGACAAAAGACAAAAUUUGUACAAGAAUAGAAUAUCAACACAUUAUUGCACGUGGAAAGCUACAUACACAUCACGCAGACAUAGACAUAAAACCUGACAGAAUAAAGGUUAGUGAACUGCCAUUGGCUCUUGAACUUGAAGAAAUCAAAGGUAUGGCUAACUUUUACUAGUUCUUCUCAAAACUUAGGGGGUGUUUGGAUCCUGGAGCUAAAGUUUAGUCCGUGUCACAUCGGAUAUUCGGAUGCUAAUUAGGAGAACUAAACAUGAGCUAAUUACAAAACUAAUUGCAGAACCCCUAGGCUAAAUCACGAGACGAAUCUAUUAAGCCUAAUUAAUCCAUCAUUAGCGAAUGUUUACUGUAGCACCAUAUUGUCAAAUCAUGGACUAAUUAGGCUUAAUAGAUUCGUCUCGCGAUUUAGCCUAGGUGUUGUGAAAUUGGUUUUGUAAUUAGCCUAUGUUUAAUACUCCUAAUUAGUGUCCAAACAUUCAAUGUGACAGGGGCUAAAGUUUAGCUCGGGGAUCCAAACACCCCCUUAGCCUAGGCCAAAAUAACAAGUGCUGCAAGGUAUUUCAAUUGGUAUUGUUUUGUCACUCCCAUAAAUCUAGAUAAUCACUGAAACCAAAAGUACGUACAACACAAUUAUCAUCUGCUAUUGCAGAGAACCAAACUAGUGCCCUAAAAAAACUAUGACUGCACAUGAAUUAGCAAGUAUUAACUGCAUGUGCAUUGUACUGAACACCAAUGUUAUUGAAAUUAGGAACUGCCUAGUUUGAAGGAUAAAACUGGCUGCACCCUU